GCCAAAGGAAGAACAAAGGAAGAAAAGAAAGAACAAGAACCCUAGGGUGAAAAUUCAAGAGAAAAUUGGUGGAUUUCAAAUAAUCAAGCAAUCAAAGGUAAAAUUUCUUGAUUUUGACUUAUGAUCUACCUUUCCCAUGCAUUCUUUUGCAUUUUCUAUGGUUGAAUAUCAUGAUUUCAUGAUGGGUAUCUUGCUGGCUGAAUACUUAGAGAGAGGUUUUGAUGCUUGGUUUGGUUAGAUUUUAAUGUAUUUUAGUGUUUUUAGUUGAAUGGUGAUGUAUAGCAUGAAAAUCAAGCAAGAAAAAUUCACGUUCUUCCAUCACCCAUCAUUGGCCGAAUUCUCCAUCUAGAAUAUUGAGGAUGAUUUUGAUUUUAUUUCAAUUGAUUUGGUUAGGGAUUAGUGAUUUAUGGUGUGAGAAUCAAGUAAAAAAAAUCAUAGUGUUGAUGCACCCACCAUGGUCGAAUUUUCCAAGAGAAAAUGUGAGGAUGAUUUUGCCAUAUUUCAAGUUAUUUAAUUUGUGUUUGAUGAUUUGCAGUAUUGGGAGAAAAAUGGAAUUAUUUGGAGUUGAAUUGGACAUAUUGGCCAAUUAAUCGAGUUAUAGAUCGACUUAGGCCAAUACCGUUUUAAUUAGGUACACAAUUGAAUUUGUGUAGAACAUUUUGUUUAGACGAUAAUCAAAACAAUUUACAGCCCAUUUCAUGCAUUAAUAUAGAGCUUGAAUUGGUUUUACAACAAUUUAGCAUAAAUGCAGUAAAUGACUUAUUGUGCAUUAUGUCUAGGUGGUGAGCAUUCUGGCAAAAGCAAAGAUAUAGUAUCCGAGGAUCAAGAAUCGGAGUACUCGAAAUUCAACUCCCGAAAUAGUGAGUAACCUUACUAUCGUCUUAAUUAUCUAAAGUGGUUUUUAUCCGAUUUUGUGAUUUUAUAAAAAAUGAGUUUAAAUGGUAAAUCUUUAGGUUUUAUAAAAAAAAUGUGUUAAAUGAAACGAUUUUAUAAAUUGUUUUGAAAUUGAAUGAUGGCUUUGAAAAUAGAGUAAUUGGAGACCAUUUGAUGUAUUGUGAAUUUAUGGUUCUAAUUGAUUGGCUUAUGGCAAUAUUGGCAUGAAUGGUUGAAUUGGUAUUUGUGUUGAAAAUGUAUAAACUGUUGUUUACCUUGAUAGGCUGGAUAAUGAUAAAAUUGCCAUGUCAUGUUGUUGAAUUUUAUUGAAUUGGUGGGUUAUUGAUUAGUUGCUGCAGUGGACGGGCUCCGUGGACCAGCCUAUUAGAGGGGGCACGGUAACCCUAUUAUAUUCAUACCUCAGUAUGAGAGGCACGGAUGGAUAACUCCUGAGGUUAACACUUUAGAGUUCACUUCACAAGAAACCAC
rnacentral:lncRNA from 1 species